CCAUAAGAACAAAUUCAGUCUUUCACACGCUUUUCAAACACUGAACAUAUGGACUGCAGAGACUGUCUGGUCGAUUAAAUUUUUUGGGGCUAACUAUCUGCCUUAACUCAUCAUAGCAUAAUGCUUCAAAAACGGUCUACGAGCUCGAAUGUCGACCAGCCACCAUGAAUGUAAAUUUGCUGUGGCCUCGGCGGGUGAAGGGACAGUUGAUUGGUAAGUGCUUAGAUAGAGCCUCUAUGGUCUCUUGUGACUCAAAGAUCAUUGAAUUGAUCCAGUAGACAUUCUUUAGUUUUACUAUGCACUAUAGACAUAAUGGUGCCUGUAGUUUCAGUGAUGAAAUUGCUGCAUAGGAAGUGCCAUCUGAUGCGAUAACUGACGCUGGCUGAAGCUGCUCUGAGAAAUGCACAGCCCUGAAUGUACACAUGCUUUUGACAAUUGUGGUAAUGAGAACCAAACUAACAUGGUCAUUUCUUUUACAGAUCUGCCAACCUGGGUGUGAUGCCAUGAAAAUGAUUCAAUGAAGUUACUCCCAUGAGAGCAGUGCCAGAGGGUCAAGGGGACAGUUGAUUGGUCUACAAACCUGGAUGUGACCCCCUGAAAAUACAAGUAACUCCAAUGGAAUGAGAUCAGGUCAUAGGGUGAAAGUGGUGCCAAGAACAGGAUUCAAGAACUGAAAUUCACCAAAUGACUGAUCAGUGACUGACUAAAAUAAACAAGUUCAA